UACGAAGGGUGCAAGCGUUAAUCGGAAUUACUGGGCGUAAAGCGCGCGUAGGUGGUUCAGUAAGUUGGAAGUGUAAUCCCCGGGCUCAACCUGGGAACUGCUUUCAAAACUGCUGAGCUAGAGUACGGUAGAGGGUGGUGGAAUUUCCUGUGUAGCGGUGAAAUGCGUAGAUAUAGGAAGGAACACCAGUGGCGAAGGCGACCACCUGGACUGAUACUGACACUGAGGUGCGAAAGCGUGGGGAGCAAACAGG
rnacentral:rRNA from 1 species